AGAGUUUGAUCCUGGCUCAGAUUGAACGCUGGCGGCAUGCCUUACACAUGCAAGUCGAACGGCAGCGCGGGAGCAAUCCUGGCGGCGAGUGGCGAACGGGUGAGUAAUACAUCGGAACGUGCCCAAUCGUGGGGGAUAACGCAGCGAAAGCUGUGCUAAUACCGCAUACGAUCUACGGAUGAAAGCAGGGGAUCGCAAGACCUUGCGCGAAUGGAGCGGCCGAUGGCAGAUUAGGUAGUUGGUGAGGUAAAGGCUCACCAAGCCUUCGAUCUGUAGCUGGUCUGAGAGGACGACCAGCCACACUGGGACUGAGACACGGCCCAGACUCCUACGGGAGGCAGCAGUGGGGAAUUUUGGACAAUGGGCGAAAGCCUGAUCCAGCCAUGCCGCGUGCAGGAUGAAGGCCUUCGGGUUGUAAACUGCUUUUGUACGGAACGAAACGGCCUUUUCUAAUAAAGAGGGCUAAUGACGGUACCGUAAGAAUAAGCACCGGCUAACUACGUGCCAGCAGCCGCGGUAAUACGUAGGGUGCAAGCGUUAAUCGGAAUUACUGGGCGUAAAGCGUGCGCAGGCGGUUAUGUAAGACAGUUGUGAAAUCCCCGGGCUCAACCUGGGAACUGCAUCUGUGACUGCAUAGCUAGAGUACGGUAGAGGGGGAUGGAAUUCCGCGUGUAGCAGUGAAAUGCGUAGAUAUGCGGAGGAACACCGAUGGCGAACGCAAUCCCCUGGACCUGUACUGACGCUCAUGCACGAAAGCGUGGGGAGCAAACAGGAUUAGAUACCCUGGUAGUCCACGCCCUAAACGAUGUCAACUGGUUGUUGGGUCUUCACUGACUCAGUAACGAAGCUAACGCGUGAAGUUGACCGCCUGGGGAGUACGGCCGCAAGGUUGAAACUCAAAGGUAUUGACGGGGACCCGCACAAGCGGUGGAUGAUGUGGUUUAAUUCGAUGCAACGCGAAAAACCUUACCCACCUUUGACAUGUACGGAAUUCGCCAGAGAUGGCUUAGUGCUCGAAAGAGAACCGUAACACAGGUGCUGCAUGGCUGUCGUCAGCUCGUGUCGUGAGAUGUUGGGUUAAGUCCCGCAACGAGCGCAACCCUUGUCAUUAGUUGCUACAUUCAGUUGGGCACUCUAAUGAGACUGCCGGUGACAAACCGGAGGAAGGUGGGGAUGACGUCAAGUCCUCAUGGCCCUUAUAGGUGGGGCUACACACGUCAUACAAUGGCUGGUACAAAGGGUUGCCAACCCGCGAGGGGGAGCUAACCCCAUAAAACCAGUCGUAGUCCGGAUCGCAGUCUGCAACUCGACUGCGUGAAGUCGGAAUCGCUAGUAAUCGUGGAUCAGAAUGUCACGGUGAAUACGUUCCCGGGUCUUGUACACACCGCCCGUCACACCAUGGGAGCGGGUUCUGCCAGAAGUAGUUAGCUUAACCGCAAGGAGGGCGAUUACCACGGCAGGGUUCGUGACUGGGGUGAAGUCGUAACAAGGUAACCGUAUCGGAAGGUGCGGCUG
rnacentral:rRNA from 1 species